rnacentral:rRNA from 1 species
GCUACGGGAGGCUGCAGUGAGGAAUAUUGGUCAAUGGACGAGAGUCUGAACCAGCCAAGUAGCGUGAAGGAUGACUGCCCUAUGGGUUGUAAACUUCUUUUAUAAAGGAAUAAAACGAGGCACGUGUGCCUUUUUGCAUGUACUUUAUGAAUAAGGAUCGGAUAACUCCGUGCCAGCAGCCGCGGCAAUACGGGGGAGCCGAGCGUUAUCCGGAUUUAGUGGGGUUGAAGGGAGCGUAGAUGGGGUGUUAAGUCAGUUGUGAAAGUUUGCGGGUCAACCGUAAAAUUGCAAUUGAUACUGGCAGUCUUGAGUACAGUUGAGGGAGGCGGAAUUCGUGGUGUAGCGGUGAAAUGCUUAGAGAUCACGAAGAACCCCGAUUGCGAAGGCAGCUUACUAAACUGUGACUGACAUUGAUGCUCGAAAGUGUGGGUAUCAAACAGGAUUAGAUACCCUUGUAGUC